UGCGUAGGCGGCAUGAUAAGUUAUUGGCGGUAAAUCGAGGCUCAACCUCGUGGAAACUAGUAAUACUGUUUUGCUUGAGUACAGGAGAGGUUAACGGAACUCCAUGUGGAGCGGUAAAAUGUGUAGAUAUAUGGAAGAACAUCAAUAACGGCGAAGGCAGUUAACUAUUCUGUUACUGACGUUGAGGCACGAAAGCGUGGGGAGCGAAAAGGAUUAGAUACCCUUGUAGUCCACGCCCUAAACGAUGAGUACUAGAUAUUGGGAACUUGAUUCUCAGUGUCGCUAGUUAACACAGUAAGUACUCCGCCUGGGUAGUACGCUCGCAAGAGUGAA
rnacentral:rRNA from 1 species